GUCUUCUUGAUUUUUAUGAGAAGUCUGACCUGCCCAGUGAAAUAAUUAUUAUUUAACGGCCGCGGUAUUCUGACCGUGCAAAGGUAGCAUAAUCAUUAGUCUUUUAAUAGAGGGCUGGCAUGAAUGGUUUGACGAGGUGCUGACUGUCUCAUUUAAUAUUUAUGUAAAAUUUAACUUUUUAGUCAAAAGGCUAAAAUUAUUUUGGAAGACGAGAAGACCCUAUAGAGCUUUAUAUUGUGUAUUAUUAAUUGCAUUUUGCUAAAUUAUUUUAAUUAUUAUUAACAAUAUUUUGUUGGGGUGACAAAAAUAUAUAUUUAACUUUUUUAUCUAUUUAACAUUGAUAUAUGAUUUAUGAGAUCCAUUUUUAGUGAUUAUUAGAUUAAGUUACCUUAGGGAUAACAGCGUAAUCUUCUUUCAGAGUUCAAAUUUACAAGAAGGCUUGCGACCUCGAUGUUGGAUUAAGAUUAUAUUUAGGUGUAGCCGCUUAAUUUAUAGGUCUGUUCGACCUUUGAUUUCUUACAUGAUCUGAGUUCAAACCGG
rnacentral:rRNA from 1 species